UAGUCCACGCCGUAAACGAUGUCAACUAGCCGUCUGUUUCCUAGAGAAGUGGGUGGCGUAGCUAACGCGCUAAGUUGACCGCCUGGGGAGUACGGCCGCAAGGUUAAAACUCAAAUGAAUUGACGGGGGCCCGCACAAGCGGUGGAGCAUGUGGUUUAAUUCGAUGCAACGCGAAGAACCUUACCAUCCCUUGACAUCCAGAGAAUUAAUCAGAGAUGAUUUUGUGCCUUCGGGAACUCUGAGACAGGUGCUGCAUGGCUGUCGUCAGCUCGUGUUGUGAAAUGUUGGGUUAAGUCCCGCAACGAGCGCAACCCUUAUCCUUAUUUGCCAGCGAGUUAUGUCGGGAACUUUAAGGAGACUGCCGGUGAUAAACCGGAGGAAGGUGGGGACGACGUCAAGUCAUCAUGGCCCUUACGGGAUGGGCUACACACGUGCUACAAUGGCGUAUACAGAGGGCAGCAAGACCGCGAGGUGGAGCGAAUCCCAGAAAGUACGUCGUAGUCCGGAUUGG
rnacentral:rRNA from 1 species